GACGAACGCUGGCGGCGUGCUUAACACAUGCAAGUCGAACGGACAGGUCCUGCUUUUGUGGGGUGCUCGAGUGGCGAACGGGUGCGUAACACGUGGGAACCCUGACCUUGCCUUUGGGAUAACUUGGGGAAACUGGGGCUAAUACUGGAUAGGAGCUCCUGCUGUAUGGUGGGGGUUGGAAAGUUUUGGCGGUUGGGGAUGGACUCGCGGCAUAUUAGCCCGUCGGUGGGGUAGCGGGUUACCCAGGUUUUGACGGGUCGCCGGCCUGAGAGGGUGACCGGCCCCAUUGGGACUGAGGUGCGGGCCGGACUCCUACGGGAGGCAUCAAUGGGGGAUAGAGCACAAUGGGCGGAAGCCGUGUGCAGCAACGCCGCGUGCGGGAUGACGGCCUUCGGAGUGUAAACCGCGUGCGCCUGUGACGAAGCGUGAGUGACGGUAAUGGAUAAAGAAGCACCGGCUAACUACGUG
rnacentral:rRNA from 1 species